rnacentral:rRNA from 1 species
UACGGGGGGGGCAAGCGUUGUUCGGAAUUACUGGGCGUAAAGGGCUCGUAGGUGGUCAACUAAGUCGGACGUGAAAUCCCUCGGCUUAACCGGGGAACUGCGCCCGAUACUGGAUGACUUGAGUUCGGGAGAGGGAUGCGGAAUUCCAGGUGUAGCGGUGAAAUGCGUAGAUAUCUGGAGGAACACCGGUGGCGAAGGCGGCAUCCUGGACCGACACUGACGCUGAGGAGCGAAAGCCAGGGGAGCAAACGGG